UACAUAGGGGGCAAGCGUUAUCCGGAAUUACUGGGUGUAAAGGGUGCGUAGGCGGUUAGAUAAGUCAGAUGUGAAAACCCGGGGCUCAACCUCGGGAAUGCAUUUGAAACUGUUUGACUAGAGUAUGGGAGAGGUAAGUGGAAUUCCUAGUGUAGCGGUAAAAUGCGUAGAUAUUAGGAAGAACACCAGUGGCGAAGGCGACUUACUGGACCAAAACUGACGCUGAGGCACGAAAGCGUGGGGAGCAAACAGG
rnacentral:rRNA from 1 species